rnacentral:lncRNA from 1 species
CCUGAAUUGCCUUUAUACACAAAACACUGCCAUUGACUGACUGGGCUGCAAGGCAAUUCCUUUGCAUUUAAAUGUAGCCACUGUAUGUGGUUGUGCAGCUAUCCUAUCUAAUGUAUUAUCGACCACUGAAUUUUAAUGGUUGCUUUUACGCAUUUGCACAUUUGUAUGAUACUAACAAUACUAUCAAUACUAACACAUUUUCCCACUUCAGUGUUGAUUAACAGCAUAUGAAAAUUUAUGAUACUUGUCUUGCAAAGUCUGUUUUAUUUUUCAAACAAUUCAAUAGUGCCGAUUUAUCACUUUACAAACAAUCAUCUUAAGAUAUGUUUAAAGAAAAUUAAUGAUCUGAUUUAUCAACUAAACAAUUUAAAAUAAUUGAUCAGAUGCAGUUGUGCAGAUGCAGUGAUAUUAAAGAGAUUGCAUGGGUUAAUGUUUGUUGUUUGACUGUCUGCAAAUCUCUCAGACGAAGUUGAUAGGGAUCAUGCAAUCAUGCAGCAGGUCAAGCUGAUUUGGAUAAAAAUUUUCACCAAAUAAUAAUAAUAAGAAGAAGGAAAAAUACAUGCAUUCCCAUGUCUACUAAACUGUCAGGUCAAGCCAAUCAUUGUCAAGCAAGCUAAUUCUCUCCACCCACAAUGUAGACUAAUAAAUAAGGCCUUAACUCAAUCACUAACACUAAACUUUGGCUGCCGUCCCUGGGAAGAGCAGUUCCUUGAGUUUUCAACACCUCAAUAAAGGUUAAUCUCUUAGCAGUCAUUCCUGAAACUGAAAACACCUGAUGAUCCUUCAGCUAAAGAAUGUGGUGGAUUCUGCUUUUCUUAGAAUGGCUUGUGGAUUGGGCUCGUGGCACAUACUGGUAUCUGUUUGUGUCUUCCUUAGAUCUGUUCCAAGAAGAUCCAUCUGCUGUGUAUGCUGAAGAUGGUUCCACUCUGGUUUGCUCGCUUCAUACUGUGGAGUGGAAUCGCUGAUUUAAUAUCACCAAUUUUCAGGUGUCCCACCCAAAAACUCCUGCUGCAUGAUGGACGCCCUCUUCCUGCAGCACUCCAAGCGUGGUGUACUAUCCAAAGGGUGGUUCCAGUGAGAUCCUGUACCACAUCAUCCAGGUUCUGGAGAAGCUUGGAGGGAAAGUCCUUGUAA